AUGGGGAUUCAGUGGGGUCCCCCAACCUUCAUUUCUUUUUGCAAUCCAUCACCUCUGUUUUGCUCACAGAAGGAAUCCGUGCUGCUGAGCGUGGUGGCUGCUUGCUCCGGAGUGUUUAUCUCCUUGGACUGUUUGAUAGAGCAAAGCCUCAGGAGGAGCAUGGCCACACAUCUGCCGGCUAUCCAAGAGCGAUCCCAAGAAGCUUGGAGAGCACUGAUAGAGGAGAACUCCAUCGCUCCAGAAACCUCACCACUCCCAAAUGUAUUAAUGAAAAAAAUAAUGAGAAUUAGUGGAAGAAAAAAAAAAAAAAAAGAAAAGCUAAGCUCUUUCCCGGUUAUUUAACACAGGAAGGAAAAGCUCCAGAGAUCAUCGUAUCAUUCCUCAGCAUGUCCAUCUCAGCACCAGUACACACAGAGGAAAACCACAGCCCCUUCCAGCCAGACCCUCACCUCAGGCUCAGGACCAGAAGUGAAUUCAGCAUCUUGCAGACCUGAGGGAUGAGCUCGGCUGAGAUGACUCUUAAAAGUGGAGCCAGAGAGAUGGGAACUUGUAGGUGUCGAGUGGUGAUGGGUCAGAAGAGGCCAUCACACAGCUGUGUGCUCGGGGAACAGGGCUGAGCUCAAAACAUUUUAAUGAUAUUUAAGUUUUUGCCUCCUUCUCGCCGUCCACAUUUGUCCAGUUCUACCUUGGAUCCUCACCUCUGACUUGAGAACUGAAUUAUGUGUGGUGCAAACAAGUCCUGUCUUUGUUUUAAAACUUCUUUCACUCGAUGUCUUCUGUUUCUCACAUUGUAAGGAAGAAUAAUCACUCCUUCCUUGCCCUUCCCUGCUGCUCAGGUUUUUAUAGACCUCUGCCACAGCUCCCAUCUGUCAUCCCUCUCCUAUGCUGAUAAGCACCAGGUUAUUUAACUUUCCUCACACAAAGCUGUUCCACCCUUCCGGUCUCCUUUGACACCCCUCUAAAUUGUCACCUAGGGAGAACUGAUGUCUCAAUGCAGCAGUUUGGAGCCACCAGACAUGCACAAGAAAUGCACAAACAAUGCCCUGUGUCUGGCUGAAACCUCUAGAAGUGAAAAUCUGAUUAUACCCACUUUUAACCAUCUCACAGCUACCCGGAACAGUCUUUCAGGCAGUGAUCUGACUUCUUAAAAUGGCAAGUCUUGAAUCACCAAGCCGCUCUGAACUGCUCUCUGUGAUGAGUUCAGCUCAGUCGUCCUGCUCUCCUGUCUUCUGGUUCCCAGAAACCAUGAAAAAGUCAGAGAAAAACAUAUACGUAAUAAAUUCAUGAUGGAUCUCCAAGGAAUUUCUUGUCCCUUUCUUGAGCGGGUCAAGGUUGGACCCAUAGAAAUGAGUGGGGAAAAAGGUGGUGAGGAGGUCUUGAACAAAGCUAACCAGGGCAGUCUUAAAUGAAAUUGAAGGCAGGGGUGCACUGUAGGGAAGGAAAGGAUGCUGGGAUGGAGGAAUCCUUUGGGCUGCAAACCCACUCUUGGCCAAAUUGCUGUUUAACUUCUCUGACAGCAUCUUUCAGAGACCCAUUCAUCUUUUAUGGAUGGAGGGCUGCAAGCACUCCCUCUUCAUCCCCAGUUUUGUUCUUAAAAACUGUUCCAUCAGAGAGAUCUAUGAAGGGCUCAGUUCCCAGCUGACAAGCUAUCUAUUUAGAGUUGAUAUGCCUGAGAACAUUCACCAGGCCUUAUUAAUGGGAAAGUGCUGAAGGGAGCAAACCCACAAGCAGCCACCACAGAAACAUGUUUCCAUUAUCAGUUAAUGUUCCCCAGCAUGGUGAAACAGCACAUCCUCGCUCCUCCUCAUCUCCUUGCUUUGGUGCUCAAGAUCAGCUUAGCCCCCAGGAAGGGGUCUGUCUGGGGAGAGCACAGCAAGGCAACACAUGGACACCCAUCUCACAAGGGCUUGAAGUUGGAUACUCCAGUGCUCCAGGCCUGCAGCUGCAAUGCCAAGAAGGCGCAUCCAGGGUUAUGGUUAUCCGUGGUGGAUGGCUCUGGUUGAGGAGCUGUGUCCUCACCGCGGACCGCAGCGCUUCUCUCGGUGUGGAAGAACAUCUCACGCUGCAAUAAGGAGGUAGGAAUAGUAGGGUCGCAUCUACUGGGGGUUGGAGAAGCAGCCAAGCUGAGGAUGGAGCAAGCUGAAGCAAUCUCCAAAGCACGCUGGCAGCCUGAAGCAUUUUAACCCUCGUUGCAAAGAUCCCAAAAGACAGAGUGGGUGGAAAAUGAAAUCUGAGGUAAAAAGGGCUGGGGGCAGGUAUGGCUUCAGCGUUUGCUUCCCAGAGAAAACUUCUCCCUCCAGCGCAUCUUCAUUCAAGCUGGGAAAAUAAAGCAAAUGAAAUAAAAGCCUUCCUCCCAAACCACAUCAGCAAAGAAAUUUAGGUGAUUGCAUUCACGUCCGCGUGCCCCGGGCAAUGUUUUACUCCUGGUGCACUGAGAAGCAAAGCAUGACCUCGCCUCCUUGAAAUCAAAGAUUUACCCGUGAACGCUCGCAGAGCUCAUCGAAACAGGAGAAGCGCGGAGCUGAGAUGAAUGGACAAUCAGGUCGUGGCUGUUUCCUCUCCCUAAUGCGUGUGUAAAUAAAUGCAGCAUCUCCAGCCAGGCGAUGACACAUCAGAUAUGACUGAUCCACUGCUUUUUCUGGCUUAACAUUUCCAACUUUGGGGUUUUCCGAGUAGAAAAAAAAGCCUCCUUCUGAUAAAUACUUGUGGUUGUGGAGCUUGUGUUUAACUUGACAGCAGGACAAAACCAGAGAAGGCCAUGAAACAAGAGGCUAAAUAUGGGUAUUAAGCAUGAGAAAACCUUGAGAUGAGGGAUAGGAUUGCGAGACCUGAAUAGCUGAGAGGAGCUGAUGGAGACAUCCAAAGCAAUGAAUGUUAAUCUCUCUGUCAUCCAUCACCAUCCAGGAGAUGGUCCAAGUGCCCCAUUUCACACCUCGGAGUGGCCGGCAGAUGUGUGGUGUGAGGAGCCAGCAGGAUUUGGGCUCUGAUCCCAACACAGCUUUGCACCAGCACUGGGCAUCUCCAUCCCCAUGUAAGGGAUGAAGCCAUGCACCUCUCCCAGUCACUGUGCUGCCUUUAUGGGUGAGCUGCAUGAUUGCACACAAGGCCCCAGUGCGGCCAAAUGGAACAGUAAAUCUUCCCCCCGAGA
ensembl:lncRNA